rnacentral:sRNA from 12 species
CCUUUGGAGAGUCGCAUCAAACGAAAGUAGCUAUGGCAAAAUCGGAUUCUAUGAAGAAGGAA